rnacentral:sRNA from 1 species
UAUUCAAAGACAGUAACUUUAGAGGGAUUUUCAGUUGCUAUGACACAGUUGCUUGGAAUUAAUCUGGGAUUGACAUAUGAUGACAUCUACAACUGUAACUGUCCAGGAGCUACAUGCGUAAUGAAUUCUAAGGCAAUAUACAUAAAAGAGGACAUGUUUGCAGGAAAAGCAUAGAUCUGUGUGGUUUUACAGAAUAUUACAAU